UACAGAGGGGGCAAGCGUUGUUCGGACUUACUGGGCGUAAAGGGCGCGUAGGCGGCCUGCUAAGUCGGACGUGAAAUCCCUGGGCUCAACCCAGGAACUGCGUCCGAUACUGGUUGGCUUGAAUCCGGGAGAGGGACGUGGAAUUCCAGGUGUAGCGGUGAAAUGCGUAGAUAUCUGGAGGAACACCGGUGGCGAAGGCGACGUCCUGGACCGGCAUUGACGCUGAGGCGCGAAAGCCAGGGGAGCAAACGGG
rnacentral:rRNA from 1 species